rnacentral:lncRNA from 1 species
UGACAGUCUGUGAUCAAGUCAAUCUUAACUAUGACGAUAUGUGAUCAAGUCACAAUCGAUCGCAAUUAAUACAAAAUUGGUCACAACCUUUACAAUAAACAAAUACUUGACCACAAAGAGUCACCACAAACAAAUUUUCACACUAUAGACCAACACUAUAAUCCAGGACCACAAUUUCCACCACCACCAUAACCUCCAACUUUACUACAUUAUUAACUUGUGUUAUUCGUGACUAAUUGUAACCAACUUUGUCUUUAGUGUGACUACCUGUAACCAGAUCAGUCUAAUUUGUGAUUGUAUAUAAUCAAGUCACAUACAACCAUGGUUCACAUAGAUGUAGUCAUAGACAGUUACAAUGAAGAUAGACUUGGCCACACUCGAUUUCGUCAACACUCCCAACAACUUCAACCAAAUGACAACUUCCAACACCUUCAACAAAUUCUAACCACCAACACCACUGGUAUCACCGCACCACUGCCACCACACGAAAGAUUCGUUGCUCAUAGCUGCAAGCAGUGGCGCCUCCUUUGAAGCCUCCAACCACCAGCCAACUCCCACCCAAGCUGUCGAACUCCACCACUAGCAUGACCACCUCAACCUCCUCUACAAACCUCGACCAACAUUCAUGCCUAAUACCUUCCCAAGCGCACCAAAAAUCAAGCCAAACACCAGUAGCUAUAGACUAUCUUUUGAGCAACACCACCUCCGACAAUGUCCAUGCCAGUACCGCCACCAUUGCCACCACCUCCUCCAAUCCACCAACUCGUUACCAUAACCACCACCACCACCACCACCACAUCCACAUCAAAUAUAAAUUACCACCACCACAACAACCCAUACACCAUACCACACCACACCACAAAUUUACAGAUUCGCACAACCACCACGUAUAUUUGCACCACCACCACCACCACCCUACAGCCCGACAUCGCAUUACUCACAAAGAAUUCGCGGUACACAGCUACAAAUCUCGCAAUGAUGCCUAGCACGCGAUGUUUGUGCUGCACGCAACCACUGGAAGAGAAGGAGUAGUGACGGUAGGAAUGAGCAGUCUAAAGAGAGGGAGAGGGGCCACAUGAAAAGAGGGAGAGAGAGGGUAGAGAGAGAAGGGAUAAUGGAGAAGAGAAAGAGAGG